rnacentral:rRNA from 1 species
UGGGCAACCUGCCCCUAGCACUGGGAUAACCCCGGGAAACCGGGGCUAAUACCGGAUAUGACCUCGGUGGGCAUCUUCUGAGGUGGAAAUGUUCCGGCGGCUAGGGAUGGGCCCGCGGCCUAUCAGCUUGUUGGUGAGGUAACGGCCCACCAAGGCGGCGACGGGUAGCCGGCCUGAGAGGGCGACCGGCCACACUGGGACUGAGACACGGCCCAGACUCCUACGGGAGGCA